CACGGGUGCGUAACACGUGGGCAAUCUGACCCUCCGAUGCGGGAAUAAUCCCCGCGAAAGCGGGGCUAAUACCUGCAUAACAUUCCGGGGACUUCGGUUCCUGGACUCAAAGGCGUAAGUCGUCGGAGGUGGAGCCCCGUGCCCGAUUAGCUAGUUGGUGACGGUAACGGCUCACCAAGGCAAUGAUCGGUAGCUGGUCUGAGAGGAUGGCCAGCCACACUGGAACUGAGACACGGUCCAGACUCAUAACGGGAGGCAGCAGUGGGGAAUCUUGCGCAAUGGGCGAAAGCCUGACGCAAGCGACGCCCGCGUGGGGGAUGAAGCAUCUCCGGUUGUUGUAAACCCCUUUUCGACUGGGACGAAUGGCUUCGGCAAGAGGAAGUUGACGGUACCAGUA
rnacentral:rRNA from 1 species